GUGAGGAAUAUUGCCCAAUGGACGCAAGUCUGAGGCAGCAACGCCGCGUGCGCGAUGAAGGCCUUCGGGUUGUAAAGCGCUUUUCUGAGGGACGAGAGAGGACGGUACCUCAGGAAUAAGUCACGGCUAACUACGUGCCAGCAGCCGCGGUAAUACGUAGGUGGCGAGCGUUAUCCGGAAUUACUGGGCGUAAAGCGCGUGCAGGCGGUUCGGAAAGUCGGACGUGAAAGCUCCUGGCUUAACUGGGAGAGGCCGUUCGAAACUACCGGGCUUGAGGUUGGGAGAGGGACGUGGAAUUCCCGGUGUAGUGGUGGAAUGCGUAGAUAUCGGGAGGAACACCAGUGGCGAAGGCGGCGUCCUGGCCCACACCUGACGCUGAGACGCGAAAGCGUGGGUAGCGAACGGGAUUAGAUACCCGAGUAGUCC
rnacentral:rRNA from 1 species